UUUACACGUAAUAGUUUGUGUAUAAACAGGAUUGUAUACUUACUGACGUUCUGUGCAAUAGAAACAGUCGCAUACUCAAAAUGUUUCGUAGAAUCGCUAUGCUUGUUAUCCAAGAACAAAUCCGACCGACAAAGUUCGCUCGUAAAUGGCGACGAAAGGCAAAGACGAAAACAACAUUAUCUACUUUAAAAGAAAGUGAAACUAAGCUAAAGUGUGUUAAGCCUAAGAUACUGACGAAAUCAAAUUCCUUCAGAACGAAAGGAUCGGCGAAGUUAACUACGAACGCAGAAUUGGAAUCGUCCGUGUCAAGCGUUUCUACAUUUAAUAAAUCUUCCAAAUCAAACACACCUCGCGCACCAAAGAAAGAAAAAGUCAAGUAUUCUAAUGAAAUCUUUGAGGACGUAAUGGCAGAAAUUAAAAAGUACGCUAAAAGUGAAACAAAGUCACAACCAGAGCCUAUUCCAAAUGCUUUGGUGUUUGAUCUGGGCGGAAGUCACGCCUCACAUGAAGAUGUAUACUAUCAACUGAAAAGUCUGUUAUAUUCAAACAAAGAGUGUCACAUGAAAUCUCUUCAGUACUUUCCAAUGUCUUUCAGAUGGGUCAUUUUAUUAGAUAGUAAGAAAUCGCGUGAUUUGCUCGCCGGAAGUGUUAUAAUCGUCAAUGGCAACAGAGUGAUAUUGAGACGUUACGAUGAUAUUAUUGCACUGGAAUAUAAAAAAUCUUCGAGAGCAAGUGGAUUUAUUGAUACUGUUAAAGAUUACUAAUUGUCACACGCCUGGUGUAGUUAUUAUACUUGUUGGGAUGAGAUACUAAACCAGUAUUUUCGUGCAUCUAAAUAUCCCUGCUACACAGACGCAUGUAUAUAUAUAUCACAGAGACUUGUCAGCACAUUGUACAGAGUCUGACACAAAUACACAAUUAUUAACUACGUAUAAACUACUCUCAGAUACUACUCCACAAGUGGGCGAAAUUUUUCUUAUAAGACCACACUAUGUCCUAAAGACAAGUCUAUAUGUUAUGCUGAUAUAUUAAUAGUCAAUCCAGAGAGCACGUAAAACUCGUUUACCCAUCACAUUUUGUGUCCGACCCUAUUCAGACUAUCUGGAUGUUGUUUUGUUCGUACCUCUAUUUUUUCUGCGGAGUCGAACGUUGUUGGUUGUUGUGACCUUAUUGUACUGUCCAAUAUUUUUGGUGAUUCUUGUUAUCUUUUGCAUUUGUAGUUUUUAAUCAAAGAAUUAUUUUGAAAUUAAAGCUCUUUUCAUGACAUUGUAACACUCUUUAGCAUUAUGUUGAAAAUACUUUAUGCAUAUGUUUUGGAAUUGUUCUAUCAGUUUUACUGCUUUUACUUUUGUUUUUACUGUUCGUGGUGUAAAAUCAAUCAGUAUGUUUAUGUAUUGUAAUUUUACAACAAACAGAAUGAAAUUUAUUUCUUUAA